GUGCUUGCUUUAGCACACAUACACUAAACUUGGAACAAUAUAGAUAUUAGCAUGGCCUCUGUAAGGAUGACAUGCAAAUUUGUGAAGUGUUCCAUAUCCAA
rnacentral:snRNA from 1 species